UACGGAGGGAGCUAGCGUUGUUCGGAAUUACUGGGCGUAAAGCGCACGUAGGCGGCUUUGUAAGUUAGAGGUGAAAGCCCAGAGCUCAACUCUGGAACUGCCUUUAAGACUGCAUCGCUUGAAUUGUGGAGAGGUAAGUGGAAUUCCGAGUGUAGAGGUGAAAUUCGUAGAUAUUCGGAAGAACACCAGUGGCGAAGGCGACUUACUGGACACAUAUUGACGCUGAGGUGCGAAAGCGUGGGGAGCAAACAGG
rnacentral:rRNA from 1 species